rnacentral:lncRNA from 1 species
CCUGCGGCUUGGCUGAGUCUCACACCCUUGCAGCUGUCCUGGCCUGGAGGAUGCACGAAGAAGAUGCCUCCCCAGAACCCUGGCUGCUCCAGCCUCUCAGGGGUGCCUGGUGCAGAACGAAUAUAACCUGAUGGUCUGGUGUAGGCCCUGGAGCCAGACUGCUCGAGUUCCUGGGUUCAAGUCCUCGCUUUGCAUUUACCAACAGAACAACUAUGGGCGUGUUUUUUCAACCUCUCUGAACUUCCGUUUCCAUUUGUCAAACGGGGCUAAUGAUUGUCCCUACUGCAUGGCAUCUCCGUGAGGAUUUAAAUGAGAUGAUCCAUAAGCUGGGCGCACUGGAAGUCUCUGUAAUAGUUGGCCGCAGUAUUUUUAUCCCUUGAUGUUCCAGUCGGGGGCAGCCCCUCUCUCCUGCUGCUCAGGGCGCCCUCCUCCUGGGGCUGCUGGGGAGCAGACAGACAGGAGACAGCGCAGUCUGAGGGUGGAAUGUGCGUGUGUUCAAGUGGAGCUGAUCCGUGAUGCAGGCCCUGGAAUUCACUGCGCUCAUCUGCCGAAUCCCAAAUGGAAACAAAUACAAAUGCUUUUUAUAAACAAAGACAGUGUCUUAAAAAGAGCACAAACCAAUGAGCCGGUCUAAACUGGAACUGACUCUCUGGGUUUUCUGACAAUUUUCUAUCUAAACAACCUCCCCACCCCCGUCCCCUGCACCAGACCUGACUUUGCUCCAGGCCUGGAUGCCAGUGGCUGCCUGCACCUCCCUCUCCCGCAGCCAAGCCACGUGCCGGGGACUCUCCAGCUGUGGGAAAUUCCUCCGGCUGCCAGCAGCUUCUCUUACGGAGCCAACUGCUGCGAGGGGAGCCGAUGUGGCCCUUGCCCUUUGGGGGGUACUGAGGUCAUCAGACUUGUUCCCCCCAGACCCGGGACACGUGUGCAGCUUCGCAGUGAGGCUGAAGGUUCCCAUGCCCCACGGCCCCUUGACCACACCAUCUGAGAGGCAGAGGUCAUCUUGGAAGAGCAAUGUUAUCACCUUCUACUGCCUCAAGGUACCAAGAAAAGUGGAGAUGAUGCUCACGCUGCCUGGAUUCCACCCUGCUCUGGAGACCUGCCUUGCUCCCUCUGAAAUUCCGCUCCUAGAGAUUUGGACGCCGGCUGUCAGCUUCUCCCAGGAGGAAGCGGGGUGGUGCAGAGUGGGGGGAGCUUUGGCAAUGCUACGGCUUGCUUGAGUGGGGCGGGCUUGCGGUUAGUCUUGAUCUUGCUCCGAAAUCGCACAGUGGUCAAGAGCAAGGCUGACUCCUGGGUUUAAAACCUGUGCCUGGAUUCAAGUGCCAGAGCCACACAUUUAAUCACUGUGCCUCAAUUUCCUCAUCUAUAAAUGGGGUAAUAACACAUCAGUGGAUUAAAAGAAACAAUGUAUAUAAAGCUUGAGGACUGUGCCUGGCACGAUAUGAUUUAGCCAUUAGCUGACUCUUCACUGCUGACGCAUGAAGUUCCAGGGCUGGGAGCAGCGUGCUGCUGGGGUACCCCCAUCCUUUGCUGGGCCCAAGAGCUGUAGUCAUAGAGAUCAUGACUCAUAGGUACUCUGGGGGAGCCGCCUCGGAAACUCUGCUUCCCCUCCCAGGCCUGGGGUGCCUGGGCCCAUGGAAUGACCUCAGCUAGGAGGAAUGAGGGGCGCGGAGUCUAUAGGGCUGGGUGUAGGCCCCUGCCUACCCCCGGGGCCCUCCCAGCCCUGCCUUGUACCUGCCCCCUAGCAGGUGACCCACAGGCAGCAGGACUCCAGGGGCCACCCCAGUGACUCACUGUGACCUCUUGAUCCAGACCCAGUGAAUGGGAUCCCCCCAGCUCUUCCCUUCUGCAACCCCAGCCUCAGAUACACCAUUGACUCUGACCUCUAGCUGAGACACCAAGCCGGCCUCUGACUGAUGUGUGACCUUGACCUUCGACUGACCUCUUACCCUGGCCUCAGACUGACUCCUGGGCUCAGAUAGAGUGCCAGUUCUGGUCUCUGGCUGCAGCCCUGGCCCUGGCUACAGACUGACCCAUCUCCCAGACAUGGAAGGCACUCAAGGGCUGUCUGAG